rnacentral:rRNA from 1 species
UACGAAGGGGGCUAGCGUUGUUCGGAAUCACUGGGCGUAAAGCGCACGUAGGCGGAUUUUUAAGUCAGGGGUGAAAUCCCGAGGCUCAACCUCGGAACUGCCUUUGAUACUGGGGAUCUGGAGUCCGGGAGAGGUGAGCGGAACUGCGAGUGUAGAGGUGAAAUUCGUAGAUAUUGGGAAGAACACCGGUGGCGAAGGCGGCUCACUGGCUCAUUUCUGACGCUCAGGCGCGACAGCGUGGGGAUCAAACAGG